AGUGAACGCUGGCGGUAGGCCUAACACAUGCAAGUCGAACGGCAGCACAGUAAGAGCUUGCUCUUACGGGUGGCGAGUGGCGGACGGGUGAGGAAUACAUCGGAAUCUACUUUUUCGUGGGGGAUAACGUAGGGAAACUUACGCUAAUACCGCAUACGACCUACGGGUGAAAGCAGGGGAUCUUCGGACCUUGCGCGAUUGAAUGCGCCGAUGUCGGAUUAGCUAGUUGGCGGGGUAAAGGCCCACCAAGGCGACGAUCCGUAGCUGGUCUGAGAGGAUGGUCAGCCGCACUGGAACUGAGACACGGUCCAGACGCCUACGGGAGGCAGCAGUGGGGAAUAGUGGACAAUGGGCGCAAGCCUGAUCCAGCCAUACCGCGUGGGUGAAGAAGGCCUUCGGGUUGUAAAGCCCUUUUGUUGGGAAAGAAAAGCAGCAGGUUAAGACCCCGCUGUUCUGACGGUACCCAAAGAAUAAGCACCGGCUAACUUCGUG
rnacentral:rRNA from 1 species